GUUGAAAAUAUCUAUCAAAACAUUAUACAAUUAUCUUCCUCAAUAUUAACUUAUUUACAAAACUGUCACCAUUGUACUUUUGCCAAUUAAAGUCUAUCCAUGCAUAGUGUAUAAAAAACUGAACCAAAACAAUAUAAUGCAUGUGGCCUUUAUGAGGCAUUAUUGCCAUGUUCCUUUAUCAAAUUAGUUCCAAAUUGUUAGACAGAGUGAAAUAUAGUAAGUGCUCAAUAUAGGAAAUUCCAACAAGAAUACAAAUUCUUGGCAAUGCUGUGUUGUUAUUUUGCAUGCCAUCUAACAAUGGAUAAUUUGAUAAAACAAGAUUUUGCUUAUAUUAACCCAUUAAUUAAGCGCCAGCGCUCUCCCCUUGAUGAGUAAAAUCGUCUGGCGUUAGACAGAGUAAAAUACUAAAGUAGGGUGCAUCAGGGAGCAUUGCCACUCAAUGGGUUAACUAUAGACACAUGGGUAGAUAGGCUAGCUAGUUAACCCGGCCAUUAAGCGCCAGCGCUCUCCCCUUGACGAGUAAAAUCGUCUGGCGUUAGACAGAGUAAAAUGCUAAAGUAGGGUGCAUCAGGGAGCAUCGCCACUGAAUAGGUCAACUAGACAUAUGGGCAGAUAAGCGGGUUAACCCAUUAAGCGCCAGCGCUCUCCCCUUGACGAGUAAAAUCGUCUGGCGUUAGACAGAGUAAAAUGCUAAAGUAGGGUGCAUCAGGGAGCAUCGCCACUGAAUAGGUUAACUAGACAUAUGGGCAGAUAGGCGGGUUAACCCAUUAAGCGCCAGCGCUCUCCCCUUGAUGAGUAAAAUCGUCUGGCGUUAGACAGAGUAAAAUGCUAAAGUAGGGUGCAUCAGGGAGCAUCGCCACUGAAUAGGUUAACUAGACAUAUGGGCAGAUAGGCGGGUUAACCCAUUAAGUGCCAGCGCUCUCCCUUUGACGAGUAAAAUUGUCUGGCGUUAGGCAGAGUAAAAUACUAAAGUAGGGUGCAUCAGGGUGCAUCGCCACUCAAUGGGUUAGGAUAACCAGGAGCCGGUUGUUUCAAAGGCGUUUAGCUUAAACGGUGGAUAAGCACAAAUUUCAAAACAUUCCUAUUCAUUUUGUAAAAAAUUGAACUUCAAUUUUAUCAACGAAAUGUGUAGUUCAAUGCAUGGUUGUUAUGUUUGAACAGAAAAUAUUAGUUUGAUUGUAGUCUAUAGUUCAUGGAUUUGUUUGAUAGUUGAGCUAAAUAUCCUUGAUACAACCGGCCCCUGGCUUUCAACUUUUAGACAGAAUAAAAAUUAUGUACCGGUACAUAAAUACAGAUGCAAUGCCAUCAACAUGGUGGUUAUGAUGAUGAUGACAUGCCAAGGUUUUGGAAGAUUAGCAAUUUAAUUGUAGUUGUUGCCAAAAAUCUUGCAGCAAUCCAGUUUGUG